rnacentral:rRNA from 1 species
GGACUACAGGGGUUUCUAAUCCUGUUCGCUCCCCACGCUUUCGCGUCUCAGCGUCAGUACCGUCCCAGAGAACCGCCUUCGCCACGGGUGUUCUUCCUGAUAUCUGCGCAUUUCACCGCUACACCAGGAAUUCCAUUCUCCUCUUCCGGACUCUAGCCAGAAAGUUUCCACCGACAGCUCGAAGUUGAGCCUCGAGUUUUCACAGCGGACUUUUCUGGCCGCCUACACGCUCUUUACGCCCAAUGAUUCCGGACAACGCUUGCCCCCUACGUAUUACCGCGGCGGCUGGCAC